rnacentral:rRNA from 1 species
GAUGAACGCUGGCGGCGUGCCUAAUACAUGCAAGUCGAGCGAACAGACGAGGAGCUUGCUCCUCUGACGUUAGCGGCGGACGGGUGAGUAACACGUGGAUAACCUACCUAUAAGACUGGGAUAACUUCGGGAAACCGGAGCUAAUACCGGAUAAUAUAUUGAACCGCAUGGUUCAAUAGUGAAAGACGGUUUUGCUGUCACUUAUAGAUGGAUCCGCGCCGCAUUAGCUAGUUGGUAAGGUAACGGCUUACCAAGGCGGCGAUGCGUAGCCGACCUGAGAGGGUGAUCGGCCACACUGGAACUGAGACACGGUCCAGACUCCUACGGGAGGCAGCAGUAGGGAAUCUUCCGCAAUGGGCGAGAGCCUGACGGAGCAACGCCGCGUGAGUGAUGAAGGUCUUCGGAUCGUAAAACUCUGUUAUUAGGGAAGAACAAAUGUGUAAGUAACUAUGCACGUCUUGACGGUACCUAAUCAGAAAGCCACGGCUAACUACGUG